ACACGCAUGACACACUGCAUAUCAAUAAGCGGAGGAAAAGAAACUAACAAGGAUUCCCUUAGUAACGGCGAGUGAAGCGGGAAGAGCUCAAAUUUGAAAUCUUCAAGGUUUUACCUUGACGAAUUGUAGUUUAAAGAAGUGUUUUCUGUUAGUAGAGUUGGCUAAAAGUUCUUUGGAAUAGGACAUCAUAGAGGGUGAGAAUCCCGUAUUUGAUCCAUUCUUUCCUAGCUUUGUGAUACACUUUCAACGAGUCGGAUUGUUUGGGAAUGCAGUCCAAAAUGGGUGGUAAAUUUCAUCUAAAGCUAAAUAUUGGCGAGAGGACCGAUAGCGAACAAGUACCGUGAGGGAAAGAUGAAAAGAACUUUGAAAAGAGAGUUAAACAGUACGUGAAAUUGUCAAAAGGGAAGCGUUUGACACCAGUGUUGUUUUUCCGAAAAUCAAUUACGAAUGUUUUAUUUUUGAGGAGUUAUGACUUCAUCGGCUUGCUUCUCUCUUUAUGAAACUUUCUUAAUGCACUUUUCGGUUAACAAGUCAACAUCAAUUUCUUUUGUUGUAAAAGGGUAUGAGGAAGGUGGCUUUCUUUUCGGAGAAAGUGUUUAUAGCCUUGUAGCCUCUGCAAUCGGAGAGAUUGAGGUCUGCAGCGUAGAUCCUUCGGGGUUAGAUACGUUUGUGCUAAGUUAUAGCUUUUCAUAGACAACUUGUUGACUAUGUUUAGUCUUGUAGCUUACUCGCUUAUGCUAUUUUACCUACGCUUAGGAUGUUGAGUCGUAGAGCACGCAG
rnacentral:rRNA from 1 species